rnacentral:rRNA from 1 species
UAGUCCACGCCGUAAACGAUGAGAACUAGACGUUGGGAGGGUAGCCUUUCAGUGUCGUAGCUAACGCGUUAAGUUCUCCGCCUGGGGAGUACGCUCGCAAGAGUAAAACUCAAAGGAAUUGACGGGGACCCGCACAAGCGGUGGAGCAUGUGGUUUAAUUCGAUGAUACGCGAGGAACCUUACCAGGGCUUAAAUGUAGUAUGACAGGGGUGGAAACACCUUUCCUUCGGGCAUAUUACAAGGUGCUGCAUGGUUGUCGUCAGCUCGUGCCGUGAGGUGUCAGGUUAAGUCCUAUAACGAGCGCAACCCCUGUUGUUAGUUGCCAACGAGUCAUGUCGGGAACUCUAACAAGACUGCCGGUGCAAACCGUGAGGAAGGUGGGGAUGACGUCAAAUCAUCACGGGCCCUUACGUCCUGGGGCCACACACGUGCUACAAUGGCCGGUACAGAGAGCAGCCACUACGCGAGUAGGAGCGAAUCUAUAAAACCGGGUCUCAGUUCGGGAUCGGGAGUCUGCAACUCGACUCC